CAGCACUGGUGCUGUCUCGCUGCUGUAAGCACGAGCGCAGGUACAGCACUCAUCUGACAACACAAAGACCGUCUGGAGCAGAGCAUACACACAGCUUGUCCUUUUAAUUCAGACACUUUUUAUUGUUUCUAAACAUGCUUGUCGUGUCCGCCGGUGCGAGUGCCUUUUAAUUUGGUCUCGUAUUCUUUUAACGUCCUUUGGUUGAGUUGUUGUGUCAGUUUUAGCUACCUGUCCCGUUAGGUGUGGAAGGAAGAAAGAAGCGCGCGCACACAGGAAACGUUCCUCCAAAGUACACUUUCUGAAUACAGCUACAGGGCAAACGCGUCUCGAUAAGGAUCCUUGGCAGUCAGUGGGAUGAUAGUGAAGCGGGUUGGAGUCUGGAUUGAAGGAGCAUGGUGAAGCACCAACCAUUACAGGUCUAUGAGAGACAGCUGUGUUUGUCAUGUCUAACCGGGAUCUACGGAUGCCGCUGGAAACGCUACCAGCGGUCACAUGAUGACACCACCAAGUGGGAGUGUUUGUGGUCCUUCAUUCUCUUCUGCACUUUCUCCCUGUUACUGGUGUGGUUUUACUUCUGGUGGGAGGCCCAUAAUGACUACAGCGAGUUUAACUGGUUUUUAUAUAACCGUUCAGGGGAGUGGAGUGAUGGAACCGUUCCCAUAUUGGCUGCUACAGCAGCUGGUUUCACCUAUAUUGCAUUUUUAACGAUUUUAGCCCUGUGCCAUGUAGCUGUCGGGCAGCAGUUAAACCUCCACUGGCUCCACAAGAUUGGUGUUACAGCCGCUUUGCUCACUACAGUAAUUAGUGUGAUAUCGGUCACUCAGAUGUGGGGAGAGGAAUGGGAUGUAGUUUGGAUUUCUCUUCAGGCUACUGGUCCUUUCCUGCACAUCGGUGCUUUGGCUGCAGUUACUGCUUUGGCCUGGCUGGUGGCUGGACAGGUGGCGCGAGCAGAGAAAACUAGGUUUCAGUUGAUGGUUGUCCUCAUCUACCUGAGUGUUCUCCUCAUGCUUUACUUCAUUCCGCUGUCAAUCACCUCACCCUGUAUUAUGGAGCGUGGGAGUCUCAAAGCAGCACCCACCAUCAUCGGCCAUCAAGGAGCUCCAAUGCUUGCUCCAGAGAACACUCUUCUAUCGUUCAACAGAGCUCUGCAGAGAAAUGUUAGUGGGUUGGAGGCGGAUGUGACCAUCAGUCUAGAUGGUGUGCCGUUCCUCCUGAGAGACCGGACAUUGAGGAGAACCACAAACGUGAGAAGAGUGUUCCCACAGAGACAGUAUGAUGAUGCUUCACUCUUCAACUGGACUGAUUUGAGCUCACUGAACGCUGGCCAGUGGUUUUUAAAGGAUGAUCCCUUCUGGACAGUGCAGUACAUGUCAACAUCCGAACGCUGGUUAUUGGGGAACCAGACAGUGUGCAGCUUGGAGCAGAUGCUGAAACUAGCAGCUAGGUCCAAUAGAUCGGCCCUAUUAACUCUGCACAGACCGCCAUCCAAUCACCCCCACCACCACGACUGGGUCAACCUCACCCUUGACUCUGUUCUGAGGUCAGGAAUACCACAGCAGCAGGUGAUGUGGACUGUGGACAGUAACAGGGAGAUGGUGAGGAAAGCGGCUCCAGGUUUACAGCAGACAUCUGUGCAGAAGCUGCCUCUCGACACUCUCCAUCAUAAAGGCAUCAGCAGGGUCCUGCUGCGCUACAACCAGGCCUCUGCACAGGACAUCAAGCUGUAUAAUGAGAACAACAUUAGUCUGACUCUGUAUUGGGUGAACGAGCCGUGGCUGUAUUCCCUGCUGUGGUGCAGUGGGGUGCCGUCCGUCUCCUCCGAGGCUCCGCAGGUGCUGAGGAAGGUGCACUAUCCGCUCUGGCUCAUGAGUCCAGACGAGUACUGCUUGAUAUGGAUCUUUACUGAUCUCAUCUCCUUUGCUGUAGUUCUAGGAAUAUUUAUAUUCCAGAACUAUCACGUGAUCAGGUGGAGAAUGAGCGGGAUGCGGAGCUACAACCCAGAGCAGAUCAUGCUGAGUGCAGCCGUCAGGAGAUCCAGCAGAGAUGUCAACAAUAUGAAGGAGAAGCUCAUCUUCUCUGGUCAGCCACAGUAGCUGUCCACCUCCUGGGUUUGAGUCUGUGUCACUGCAUCCCUUCAUCUCAUUCCAUCUCAUUCCCUCUCCCUCCUGUCUCUCACUGUCUGCUACCAUCCCGUCUUUUCCUGCAUCCAUUCAUCCAUCAAUCCAUACUCUGCUGACAUCCCACAGCUUGAAUGGUAGCUCGUGCAGGGCUGUAACAUCAAUGGCCAGUGUAACUGUGGCCUGCAUAUGAGGUGAGCAACGGAGUCUCCAGCGAUGAACCCUAUACGGAAAAUGGAUUUAACUACUACACCAAUUAAUGCAUUGCUCAUUGACUCAUGGAAC